rnacentral:rRNA from 1 species
AUUGAACGCUGGCGGCAUGCCUUACACAUGCAAGUCGAACGGUAACGGGCCUUCGGGUGCCGACGAGUGGCGAACGGGUGAGUAGUACAUCGGAACGUGCCCGAUCGUGGGGGAUAACGAGGCGAAAGCUUUGCUAAUACCGCAUACGAUCUACGGAUGAAAGCAGGGGGCCGCAAGGCCUUGCGCGGACGGAGCGGCCGAUGGCAGAUUAGGUAGUUGGUGGGAUAAAAGCUUACCAAGCCGACGAUCUGUAGCUGGUCUGAGAGGAUGAUCAGCCACACUGGGACUGAGACACGGCCCAGACUCCUACGGGAGGCAGCAGUGGGGAAUUUUGGACAAUGGGCGCAAGCCUGAUCCAGCCAUGCCGCGUGCAGGAUGAAGGCCUUCGGGUUGUAAACUGCUUUUGUACGGAACGAAAAGCCUUCUUUUAAUACAGGAGGGUCAUGACGGUACCGUAAGAAUAAGCACCGGCUAACUACGUG